rnacentral:rRNA from 1 species
AUUGAACGCUGGCGGCAGGCCUAACACAUGCAAGUCGAGCGGAUGAAGGGAGCUUGCUCCUGGAUUCAGCGGCGGACGGGUGAGUAAUGCCUAGAAUCUGCCUGGUAGUGGGGGAUAACGUCCGGAAACGGGCGCUAAUACCGCAUACGUCCUGAGGGAGAAAGUGGGGGAUCUUCGGACCUCACGCUAUCAGAUGAGCCUAGGUCGGAUUAGCUAGUUGGUGGGGUAAAGGCCUACCAAGGCGACGAUCCGUAACUGGUCUGAGAGGAUGAUCAGUCACACUGGAACUGAGACACGGUCCAGACUCCUACGGGAGGCAGCAGUGGGGAAUAUUGGACAAUGGGCGAAAGCCUGAUCCAGCCAUGCCGCGUGUGUGAAGAAGGUCUUCGGAUUGUAAAGCACUUUAAGUUGGGAGGAAGGGCAGUAAGUUAAUACCUUGCUGUUUUGACGUUACCAACAGAAUAAGCACCGGCUAACUUCGUG